rnacentral:rRNA from 1 species
AGUCCUUUACUGACGCUAAAGCUCGAAGGUGCGGGUAUCGAACAGGAUUAGAUACCCUGGUAGUCCGCACGGUAAACGAUGGAUGCCCGCUGUUUGCGAUAUACUGUGAGCGGCCAAGCGAAAGCGUUAAGCAUCCCACCUGGGGAGUACGCCGGCAACGGUGAAACUCAAAGGAAUUGACGGGGGCCCGCACAAGCGGAGGAACAUGUGGUUUAAUUCGAUGAUACGCGAGGAACCUUACCCGGGCUUGAACUGCAGCAGAACGAUUCAGAGAUGAUGAGGUCCUUCGGGACUGCUGUGGAGGUGCUGCAUGGUUGUCGUCAGCUCGUGCCGUGAGGUGUCGGCUUAAGUGCCAUAACGAGCGCAACCCCUCUCUUCAGUUGCCAUCAGGUAGGGCUGGGCACUCUGGAGACACUGCCACCGUAAGGUGUGAGGAAGGUGGGGAUGACGUCAAAUCAGCACGGCCCUUACGUCCGGGGCUACACACGUGUUACAAUGGGUGGUACAGAGCGUCGGCGGCCUGCAAAGUCCGUCCAAUCGCAAAAUCCUUCCUCAGUUCGGACUGGGGUCUGCAACCCGACCCCACGAAGCUGGAUUCGCU